AUGUUUUUAGAGACGCCGGUGAUGCACUCUUGCAGGCCUCGUUUGGAAAAUGCCAGGACGGGUCUGGUUCGAGUAACUCAUGGUACAUUGGCUGAGGACCAGAUUAUUGCUCAGCUUAGGCGACUGGUCUCGAGUUCUUUUCAGUGGGCACUUGAGAGGAUUGGGGACCAAGUGUACAAGGUGGAUUAUCCUACUAAAGUUGAUCUGGAUAGGAUCAAUAAUUUUGGCAUGUGCAAGGUUCCAGGAAGCUCUUGCCGCCUAGAGUUUGAUGAGUGGAAACAGAACGAGCCGGUUGGAGUUCCUCUCAUGAAAAUAUGGGUGAGAAUCUCGGGAGUUCCUCCUAAGGCACCGAAUGAGUAUCUUGUGGUGGCGAUUCUUGGGUCUCUGAUAGGCAAAACUGAGGAGGUCGAUAUGGUUUUCACGCGUAAGCAUGGUAUUGCGAGGCUACGAGUGGGAGUAAUUGAUGUGGAUUUAGUGCCAGCUAAGUUACCGUGGUUCUUUGAUGGCUUGGGUUAUGAUCUAAUACUGGAGAUUGAGGGUCAGCCCAUGGUUUUGGAUAAGGACAGAGCUAGGGGGCCUGAGGAUGGGGCGGAUGAUUCGGAUGAGCGUCGGGAUGAUUUGAUGGACCAUGAUAAGAGAGGGGAUCCACCUCCUUCAUCUGGAGGGGCAGGACAGUCAGAUUCUACUCUAGGGACGGUACCUCCUGUGCAUGUGUCGACGCCCAUGACGGAGCUUCGCUUCGGGUCAUUUGGGGCGGUUUCGGCGCCUGCUCGCCUUUGGGCGGAUAGGGUGGACGCGACAGACCCGGAGGAGCUUGAGUUGCCGCCGUUGUCACCGGUUCGCUUCUCUUAUGCGAUGGGAGGCGACAGUGUAUCUCCUAGAUCGCCACGAGAGGGGAGCCUAGGACGGGUGGUGUCCCCUGUUGUGCCCAUGUGUCCAACGGUUUCUUUGGCGCCUGCUGUUGACAUCUCUACUCCAUCACCACAGGAGGUGGACAUGGGGGGAGAUGUGACACCGGUUCGUGUGCACUCGUCGCCGCCUAUGGCUCGGAGGGCGUCUCCUUCACCUGUGCGGUUGUCACAGGAGGACUCCCGUACAGGAGGAUACUCCUGCGAGGUUACAGACUACUCUACUCUUACCGCAGGAGGCGGCGAGGGUGGUGCCUUUGGGGCCUUCGGUCCCGCCGCUUGUUGCUGA
rnacentral:rRNA from 1 species